GCCUACAGCCAUACCACCCUGCAUAUGUCCAGCCCAAGCUCUUCUGAUCUCAGAAGCUAAGCAGGGUCGGGCCUGGCUAGUACUUGGGUGGAAGGAAAUAAGAUCUCCCAUGGACAGGGAGUUGCCAGAU
rnacentral:rRNA from 1 species